GAUGAACGCUGGCGGCGUGCCUAAUACAUGCAAGUCGAGCGAACGGACGAGAAGCUUGCUUCUCUGAUGUUAGCGGCGGACGGGUGAGUAACACGUGGAUAACCUACCUAUAAGACUGGGAUAACUUCGGGAAACCGGAGCUAAUACCGGAUAAUAUUUUGAACCGCAUGGUUCAAAAGUGAAAGACGGUCUUGCUGUCACUUAUAGAUGGAUCCGCGCUGCAUUAGCUAGUUGGUAAGGUAACGGCUUACCAAGGCAACGAUGCAUAGCCGACCUGAGAGGGGGAUCGGCCACACUGGAACUGAGACACGGUCCAGGCUCCUACGGGAGGCAGCAGUAGGGAAUCUUCCGCAAUGGGCGAAAGCCUGACGGAGCAACGCCGCGUGAGUGAUGAAGGUCUUCGGAUCGUAAAACUCUGUUAUUAGGGAAGAACAUAUGUGUAAGUAACUGUGCACAUCUUGACGGUACCUAAUCAGAAAGCCACGGCUAACUACGUG
rnacentral:rRNA from 1 species